UUUUUAUAUAAAAGUUAUUUUAUAAUUGUUAUAAUUAUAUAAGAAAUUAUAUGUGUUUGUAUAGUAAUUUUUAUAUUUUAUUUGGAGGAAAUUAGAGUGUUUUAAGCAUGAUUUUUCAAUUGAAUAAUGGAGUAUGGAAUAUUAAAAAGGUAAUGAAAUUUAUUUAUAUGUUGGUUUUAAAGUGUUAAUUAAUAAUUUCUAAGAAUAGUUGGGGGUAUUUGUAUUUAACAGCAAGAGGUGAAAUUCUUAGAUUUGUUGAAGAUAAAUUAUUGUGAAAGCAUUUAUUAAAAAUAUUUUUUUUAAUUAAGAACAAAAGUUAGGGGAUCGAAGACGAUCAGAUACCGUCGUAGUCUUAAUUAUAAACUAUGCUGAUUAGAGAUUAGAUGUUUUUAAAUAAAUGAUUUGUUUAGUAUUUUUAGAGAAAUCGAAGUUUUUAAGUUUUGGGGGGAGUAUAGUUGCAAGAUUGAAACUUAAAGGAAUUGACGGAAAGGCACCACCAGAAGUGGAGUUUGCGGUUUAAUUUGACUCAACACAAGAAAUUUUAUUAGGUCUAGACAUAUGAAGGAUUGACAGAUUAAUAGUUUUUUUUUGAUUUUAUGGGUGGUA
rnacentral:rRNA from 1 species